AGGACGAACGCUGGCGGCGUGCUUAACACAUGCAAGUCGAACGAGGUGCUUGCACCUAGUGGCGAACGGGUGAGUAACACGUGAGCAACCUGCCCUUGGCUCUGGGAUAGCCUCCGGAAACGGGGAUUAAUACCGGACAUGACCUUCUUCCGCAUGGGGGAGGGUGGAAAGUUUUUCGGCCAGGGAGGGGCUCGCGGCCUAUCAGCUUGUUGGGGGGGUAACGCCCACCAAGGCGACGACGGGUAGCCGGCCUGAGAGGGCGACCGGCCACACUGGGACUGAGACACGGCCCAGACUCCUACGGGAGGCAGCAGUGGGGAAUAUUGCACAAUGGGCGAAAGCCUGAUGCAGCGACGCCGCGUGCGGGAUGAAGGCCUUCGGGUUGUAAACCGCUUUCAGCAGGGGCGAAUUCAGACGGUACCUGCAGAAGAAGCGCCGGCUAACUACGCGCCAGCAGCCGC
rnacentral:rRNA from 1 species